rnacentral:misc_RNA from 1 species
GAUGAAGAACGUAGCGAAAUGCGAUAAGUAAUGUGAAUUGCAGAAUUCAGUGAAUCAUCGAAUCUUUGAACGCACAUUGCGCCCCCUGGUAUUCCGGGGGGCAUGCCUGUCCGAGCGUCAUUACAACCCUCAAGCUCAGCUUGGUAUUGGGCCCCGCCGACCCGGCGGGCCCUAAAGUCAGUGGCGGUGCCGUCCGGCUCCGAGCGUAGUAAUUCUUCUCGCUCUGGAGGUCCGGUCGUGUGCUCGCCAGCAACCCCCAAUUUUUUUCAGGUUGACCUCGGAUCAGGUAAGGAUACCCGCUGAACUUAAGCAUAUCAAUAAGCGGAGGA